UGGGGAAUCUUGCACAAUGGGGGAAACCCUGAUGCAGCGACGCCGCGUGAGCGAUGAAGCCCUUCGGGGUGUAAAGCUCUUUCGGCAGGGAAGAUUAUGACGGUACCUGCAGAAGCAGCUGCGGCUAACUACGUGCCAGCAGCCGCGGUAAUACGUAGGCAGCAAGCGUUGUUCGGAGUUACUGGGCGUAAAGGGUGCGUAGGCGGCUCUAUAAGUAUGGUGUGAAAUCUCCCGGCUUAACUGGGAGGGUGCGCUAUAGACUGUGGGGCUAGAGUGUGGGAGAGGAAAGUGGAAUUCCUGGUGUAGCGGUGAAAUGCGUAGAUAUCAGGAGGAACACCGGUGGUGUAAACGGCUUUCUGGACCAUAACUGACGCUGAGGCACGAAAGCGUGGGUAGCAAACA
rnacentral:rRNA from 1 species